CGAGGCCUAUGAUGGUUGGAAAUUUUGCCUACAUUGUCCGAUAGUGAUAUCCAUGAUGGAGCAUUUUGAACUGUCCUGAGGCUGCA